rnacentral:tRNA from 1 species
GGCCACGGAGAGCGCCAAAGUGCAAAUUUGGCCACGCACCCUAAAGCAGGUGCCGGGGCUU